AACAACCACCUCCAAACCAAGUCUCACAACAACCACCUUCAAACCAAGUCUCAAUACAACCACCUCCAUACCAAGUCUCACAACAACCACCUCCAAACCAAGUCUCAAUACAACCACCUCCAUACCAAGUCUCACAACAACCACCAAUCUUUUACCAAAACCAACCACAUUAUGCCGGUAACAAUUCUCCAAAUCCACAAUAUGUAAUGUAUCAACAACAACCAUGCAUUUACCAACCACAUGCUGGAGAUGGUUCCCAAAAUCCAACUCAUUUUGUGCAUCCAUCACCACCACCACCAAACUCAUAUAGCCCUCAAAUUAGUAGCAGUAGUGAAAAAGUACCUGAAACACAAUUUGAAGGUAUGGUUGAUGAGCUUGAUGAGAC
rnacentral:lncRNA from 1 species